rnacentral:lncRNA from 1 species
AAAAAAGAAAAAAAAAAAAAAAAACUAAACUUCAAAUGCCAUCUCUGUGGCUUCGCACUUUUUUACUUUAGUACUUUAUAAUUUAAAAUGUAUCAAAUUAGUCCUUUGUUGUUUCAUUUUUAUCUUUUCGUCAGCUUCUUCGUUAAUAUUUUAUUAAAUUAUAUAAAAAAAACUUCAAAUACUCCAUCUAAAUUUAUCGAAUAUUUAAUUUAGCACCUUUUAGUUUUGACACUAAAAAAAAAAAAAGAAUAAAAAAGGAUCACUAAAAGCGACGAAUUCUUUAUUAUAAUUUU